rnacentral:lncRNA from 1 species
GUAAUUAUUCAGAAUUUCAGCUUACCCGUCUCAAUAAAUAGGGGUAAAAAUACAUUUCCAUUACUAUUGAAAAACUACACCACUUUUACAAGUUCAAUAAGUAAUACUUAUGACACAAAUUAGUCCAACAACAAAAGAAUCAUUGAUAAAUCAAUCGCAAGAACCCCUAACUAAUUGGGUUCGAACAAAUAGCAAAGUAAAUAAGAAAAUCUAUCAAGUAACAACAUAUUCGCAUUCGGGGUUCACACCAGACCUAUAAAUGAAUGAUACACGUUUGGAUAUAUUUAGAGAGACUUUUAGCACUAUAUGUAUGGAUGUUUUAUCGAGGAUGCAACUCAGUUAUCAAAUCCUGAUUUCCUGAAGAACAUAUUGAUUUAUUUUCGGAAAUUGUUGAAUUGAAAUCUCCAAAGUGUAAAAUCUGUGGGUUUACUUCGUUGUGUGGAACUGGAAGACUCAAAGAGUGACUACUGAGCAUGAGAAGUACUUCACCCAUGUUUGGUCUAUUAGCAACAUUUUCUUGAACGCACAAUAAAGCAAUGUGGAUGUAUCUCACUAUGUCACCAACAGGUCCUGAGCUUCCCCUCAGCAUAGGGUCUAUCAAAUUUGAAACUGUUUCUUCGCGCCAGUUCAACCAAGCCUGUGAUAGAUCAGGACACACAAAAUCAUAAAUUAUACUACCUCUGAUUCACAUGAUGCAUUACGUUCCUCUUGAGAAAGAUAUUUGAUGGCAAUGUUUAUAUAUACAAAGUGUUGGUCUAAAUAGCAAUUAAUUUUUCUUUUGAUUGUGUCGAUUAGUAAACUAGUUUGGAAUUGAUCGAGGAAUACUUAAUUGAUUGGUUGACCAGCUAGUUACUUACAACGCUCAGAAGGUCUUCCACAGAAUCUCCUUUUCUGGAACAAAUGUUUCGUUGACCGCUUAUAAUUUCCAGGACUAGUACUCCAAAGCUAUAAACAUCUGAUUUCACUGAAAAUUGCCCCUGCAUUGCAUACUCUGGUGCCAUAUACCCACUGCAAAAUCAAAACAAAAAUUGCCUGACUUAAUUCUCUAACAUGGUAGUUAGGCACGAUUGGAGAAAGAUUUGAUGUGUAAAAUCUUCUUACGACAAAGGGGUGUGUCAAAGGAAGAUUCGUCAUAAGUUGAGAGAGGGGACAAAAUAUGUAUUAAGCCAAAGUUAUAUGACCAUUCAUCUCGACUUAUACUACUUUUAGGGACAAUCAAGUUAGCUCAACCAAAUUGAGGUAACCAUUUCUCAAGUCCUGGUAACAUUUCAAGGAAAAAUUUGUUUUAAUAUCGAGGUUUUUAUUUGCUAAAAAUGAUUAAAGAAUGCUUCGUAUAAUGAUACAAAAAAUAACAGUCUAUCUAGUGAGAGAUGUUAAACUUACUAAGUCCCAACAAUUCUGUUUGUGUUGCCUUGUGUUUCAUCCAAUGUAAAUAGUCUUGCCAUGCCAAAGUCUGCAAUUUUAGGAUUCAUCUCUGCAUCAAGUAGAACAUUACCAGCUUUGAGAUCGCGAUGAAUGAUGCGAAGUCUAGAAUCCUAAUGAAGGUAAACAAUUCCCCUAGCUAUGCCUCCUAUGAUUUUGGAUCGCCUUUCCCAAUCCAGUUGGCUACGUUUAACUUGAUCUGGAGAUAAGAGGAAGAAUAUAACUUAUUAUGAUUGCCUUUCCCAAUUCAUAGUUGUGAACUUAGUUUUCCGGAACUAAAAUAAGGCAGAUAACCGGACUACAGUCAACAUGUCAAAUUACACUGACAAAACAUUAAGCAAUACAUACCAAAUAAAAAUUGGUUAAGGCUUGCAUUGGGAACAAAUUCAUAGACAAGAAGUCUCUCUGUUCCAUCCAGGCAAAAUCCAGUAACCUAACCAAAUUCCUGUGCUGAAGCCUGGCAACCAACAAGACCUCGUUUUUGAACUCUAGAUCACCUUGGCCUGAAUCUGCUGACAAUCUUUUCACUGCUACUUCUUGUCCAUUUUGAAGCUUACCCUGAAACAUAAUACGAGAGCAAAUUGAAGAAUCAAUUAUUAUAAGCUCAUCAACAACGAAUCCUCAACCCCAAGCUAAGUUGUGGUUUUGUGGUAUGAAUUGUCAAUGUCCAUUUUAUGCAUCAAGCAAGUCUAAUCACCUUAUACACAGGACCAAAUCCACCCUGUCCCAAUUUAUUAGCAUUUGAGAAGUUGUCUGUUGCUUCUCUAAUUAUAGAAAAAUCAUACUGCAAGGAUUCUACAUCGCUAAUAUCAUCCCCGAGUGUACCUUCACCAAAGUAGUAGUAAUAACAAAUAGAGUAUAUAGUGAAAAUUCAACUUUCCUUAAUCAUAUAAAUACUAUACGCUAUCUUACCUUGAAUUUUGUCCACCAGCUUCCUCUUUCGCUUCUUCAUUAAGAUGACAGAAAUACAUACAGCAAGAAUAACAACUAUAACAGUUGGCACAAUGAUAAUAAUGACGAGUCGAGCUUUUUUAUCAUCCUGCACUAUUGGAACUGUAUUAUCAUUCCCUGUUGGAGCCGUUUCAUUACCAUUCCCCAUUGGAGCUGUUUUAUCAUCAUUUCCUUAAGAAAAUGCUUCAAGUUAGUAUAAAAUUCUCGGUUUUUAACAACUCAUGUGAAAAUAAGUUACUAUCUUCCCUUUUCAGGUUAUUUCAGAAACUAUAGAUACUUAUUAAAUAUCACAAAUACAAUAUUGUUAUACCUCUAAUUUAAUAUGCUCGUCUUUAACACAAAUCAAAAUUUUGUUUUAUGAUUCUGAUGAACUGUGUGAUCCUCCCAUCUAAAGUUUUAAGUUAUUAGACGCCAAGAACAAUUACUUCAGUUCCACACAUGUCGGGAAAAAACUUAAAUUAUUGUACUUAGAGAUGACAUAUUUUAUUCACCUUAUUAUGUUUCAAUACAUCGAUUCUUUUUUCAUGUGUAUAGCUAAUUCUUUUUAUGUGUUUUCAAUACAUCGAUUCAUUAUUCAUGUGUAUGUCUAAUUCUUUUUAUGUGUCUGCUCUUCUGUCAUAUUUAAUAUUUGCAACCAUCUCGUCUAUAGGUUUGAUUAAAUUAAAUUGUUAAAUAAGGUAACUAAACUUUAUAGUAUCUACUUAGGUACAUAUGUCUUCAAAUGAAAGUGGAAAAAUAUAAUUUACCUGCAGGUGGCGGAGCUUCCAACGGCACAUCAACGAAGAAACGGGAAAUUUCAUAACGGAAGUUGCACCUAGGCCCAAUUAUUCUUCCACCCGUCUUUCCCAGGCAAGGACAUUGAGGCAUGGUUCCAUAAGCGUCAGUUAAGCAAUUGAAGCAAUUCAGGGGAGAUAAAUCAGGAGUACACUGCACAAGUGCAUAUAUAGUCUGAUCAUCUGGACCUGUCACAUUACCACUAGCAUAUUUUCGAAAGGGACCACCAUUUACAGCACGGUCUCGUAAAUUUUCCAGUAAUUUACCCAGUUCCUGGUUAAAUUCCUCGGGUUUUGAGGCAUUCGCUGGAUUCCAAAGAAAGUAUCGUAUAGACAACGAUUGAGUAUUUAUAAUGGAUUGAUUCGAGUAAUGCAACAAGCAUCCAUCAUAGCCACCAAUAACUUCUUUUUGGGUAGGACAUAACUGUACAAGUUUUUGAGCAGCGUUAUGGACACAACUGCGACAAUCGUCUAGCUCCACAUCUCCUCUACAUAGCACAAUACCACUGACCUGGUCGGUGUUUUGGCCAAUGGAAUCAUAGUAGAAACCAUAGUUAUCUAUUUUUGAGGAAAGGGAAGUGAGGAGUGUGUUUAGAUUGUUCUUGUAGGUACUAUUCUCAGUAUAGUUACCAUUCCUACCACAUGAACCGUAUCGUAAAUCAGGCACCUGCGCUACAAUAUUGAGAACAUGUAUAUACAAAAACAGAAAGAGUAGCACCUCCUGAAUACCCAUGGUCAUGGUUGUCUAAGUUGCAUUUCCAUCUCUAGAAGCUUAGAUAUUUUGAGAUCAAAGGUAAAAUGAGUUGGCUUUUAUUUUUUCUUUUGGUUUACAAAAAGAUGCGUCACGUCAUUAAAGGUAGUCCUACCUAAUACUCAUCCGUCCAACAAUAAUUGUCCACUAUUAAUUUGGGACAGAAAUUAAGAAACAGUAAAUCAUGAUAUGAAUAAUUUUACCAAAUCACCUAUAUUAAAUAUAAGUCAUUUAAAUAUUAAAAAAUGAACAACAUUUAAAAGUAAAGAUAAAAUAGACACAAAAAAUAAAUUAUUCAUAAACUUUAUAAACUAAACCAGUACUGUUACACAUAUAUCACUUUCUGCAAAAGAUAAAACUUCUGAUGACUUGGUCUGUAUCUUUGUACUUGCCAAAUUUUUCUCGUUAGAAUUUAUGAAAUUCGUACUCUAAUUUAUGGAGAUAAUGGGAAUUGGGACAGGAGUGGAUACCAAGACGCCACCAAGGUUGCAAAUUUUGACCGCCACUUGCUCAUCAACUUUAUAUGAUUACUCCAGAAAAUGAAGUCCAACUAAUUUUCUACAAGUACCAUAUUUUCCUUUUUUUCCUAGUCUUUUAAAUUUUAAUCCACAAUGAUUUCUUUAGAAUUUUGGCUUUCCAGAUUCCUUGUACUGCAGUUAUCUUUAUAUCUUGACUGAUUCAUAGUGAUUAAUUCACAAAGCAAUUUGUACUUCUGUAGGUAUUUGGACAUAAUAUAAAUAGCUGAUAUUUUUUCAACGUGCUUGAAGUGAAUGACUUGUUUGGUAAAUUUCUAGAAUCAAUUGUUUUUUUUCAAAAAAAAAAAAAUAAUAAUUUAAAAGUGUUUUCAUAAAAAAGUAAUUUUGAUAAGAAGACAAAAAUCACGUUUGAACAAUAAUUAAUGUUUAACCAAACUUUUAUAUGUGUUUUAUGUAUACUAGUUCUAAAAACGUGUGUUGCACGUUUAUCCCAAAUUACUUCAUAUAAAUUUUAUAUUGCAAAUGACAUAUUUUAUCCCCUUCAAAUCUAUUGGUAUUUACAAAAAAAAAAAAAAAUCAUCCUUUUUUCUAAACUAAAGAUCAAAAGCUGAACCAAGCUCAUUGAUGUAAAGAUUCAAUGUUUUCUGAAUUUUGACCUCUGACUGAGUAAAUACAAUGAGGAACUUCCUAAACAUCUCAAGUAUCUCAUUAUCAGACCAUUAAAAACUCUUGAAAAUUCCAUUUUUUCUGUUCACGGUAGAUUUUUUUCCGAGGCUGAUGUAUGGAAUUCAUAAGGGAACAUAGGAGAGGUGAGCGGAACUCGCUCUCUACCCUAUGCAAAAUUUAUAUUAAAGAACGAAUGAAAGCAUUAAGACUGACCACUUAAAAACCAUUUGUAUCUUUGUAGAUGAAGUUGGAGUAUAUAUAAUUUUAUCGAUGGAAACUCUUCAGAUUCUUUAACUUAAAAUUAAAUAAGAGGAGUUGUUUUGAAAUGCUCGGACUUCAACUUACUUCAAGGUAUUUCAUUCCCUGUUGGAGCCGUUUCAUUACCAUUCCCCAUUGGAGCUGUUUUAUCAUCAUUUCCUUAAGAAAAUGCUUCAAGUUAGUAUAAAAUUCUCGGUUUUUAACAACUCAUGUGAAAAUAAGUUACUAUCUUCCCUUUUCAGGUUAUUUCAGAAACUAUAGAUACUUAUUAAAUAUCACAAAUACAAUAUUGUUAUACCUCUAAUUUAAUGUGCUCGUCUUAAACACAAAUCAAAAUUUUGUGUUAUGAUGGCAAUGAACUGUGUGAUCCUUCCAUCUAAAGUUUUAAGUUAUUAGACGACAAGAACAAUGUAAUGACCCUAAAGGUCAUUUUUUGGAAAUUUUCAUAAAAUGACCGUUUUACCCCUCCCGAUAGUUGCCCCGAGUCCUAAUUGUUGUAUUUCCGAAGUUGGUUUGGAGGAAAAUUGAUGAAAAGUUGAGUUUUUGGAAAGUUGAGUUUUUAAUAAUUGAAAUUUGGUUAAAAGUGCUAUUUCGAGUCAUUUGGAGUUUCGAGACUCGAAUCGGAUUUCCGUCGAUUCCAGCAGUUUUAGAAUGUCGAAACGGGUCUAUGAGAAUUUACGGAGUCGAAUUUGGAGUUAAAACGAAGAUUUGAGGUCCUAAGUUGCUAAAAUUGUGAAAUUUUGAUCAAGAGUUGACUUUGGUCAACAAACGAGGUUCCGGUGCUCGAAAUGGAAUUCCAAGGGCACCGUUGGAUUCAGGGGGUGAUUCUAAGUCUAGAAUGAGUCUUGGUUGAAUUUUUAGAGGCCCCGAGUGCAUUUCGAGUUUUUGAGCCUAAAGUUAGUUUCUUGACGCCUUAUCGGAUACCGGAUCAAGGAGACCUCGAAUUCAAAUUUCGACGAUUUCAUUGACUCCGAAAUGUCAUUUUCAAACUGGUAGCAUAUUUGGUUUGUGUUCGGGAAGUGUCAAAUGAGUUUUGGGUGAGCUUUUAAGCUUCUUGGAUGCUUUGACACUAUUUCAGCAAAUUGUGGCAACUAAAGGGUUCAUUAUUAGUUUUAAAGGUCGAAAUCUUUUCCCAAAGGUUCUGAAAUUUUGAGCAUGAAUUACAGGACUUAUCUGCAAAUUUUGGUGCAUUAUCGCUAAUCCGAGAUUGAACUUUUAUCGCAAAUAAGAAAUAAUUGUUUACCGAGUAGAAAUGAUAUUUGACUGGGCAAACGAGCAUGAAAUUGAGCUCCGAUUGAACGAGCAGGUCCGUAUCAUUAUUUAAGACAUUUACAAAAAAGAAUCGGGUCAUUUCACUAUCGUAUGAGGAAAUUACGGCCUUUUUAGUGAAGGAUUUAACUGCUGUUUUUCUGGUGCAUAACAGUCAUGCACUGUUAUAAAAAUCUCAGACUGUGUUCAUUUGGUAUUUUGAGCAUAUCGGGAGUUCUAGAGAUCGGAAUGGAGUGAUUCUUACGGGUUUCUUCUUGAAUUAAUAUGAGGGUUAGUAUUCAAUCUUAAAUUCGACAUUUUCUCAUAAUUUCUUUAUCUGGUUUUAUUUUCCCUAUCCGUAAACCUCUUGGAAAAAAUUGGGGUUUUAUCGAUUUGGACUCCCUUUUUGAUGAAAAAGGUAUAUUUACGAUCCUUAUGUUAUGGGUAAACUGAUUUUAACAUAAAAUUAUUGAUUCAUCGAUUAUUUUCAUCAUAUUAACCGCGUACAAUUUGGACUUUCCCGGUAAAGUUAAAGUUUGAUAAAUUGAGAAUUUCAAGGUCGAUCUUAACUCCGUUUUUGAUGAAAUUUCAUAUUUGAACUUAUCUAAGCAUGGGUAAGAUGUUUUUCAAGAAAUAUUUCAUUUUCGAGUCGGGGUUUCGGAUCCAAAUAUUUUAGGCUUCUUCAAGAACGUGGAUUUUCCUUCAAAUUGAGUUUGUGAACUCAUUUCAACUCCUUUUUCGAAACGGUUUUCACUAUUGGAUUCUAAAUUUCUUGGGGAACAUUUUUCACUAAAAAUUUCCAGAUUUCGAGAAUAUUUUCCGGAACGAGAUUUUUGACCAUUUUACCCUUGUUCUCCAAAUUUCACGAUAUUGGUGUUGUUAGAUUCGUAUUUAUUGUGGGAUUCCAUUUAUGAAUAGAUUGUGGUGAUUUGGAGCGUGCUCGGAAGGGUAAAACUCAAAUUUGAGUUACUAGUUGAAGUGUUUUGAGGCAAGUGACUUCUAAACUUUGUUAAACUCUUAGACUACGCAUGACUACUUUCCUAAUUGUGUUGGGGAGUAAGGGGGAUUGAGGAUGGGUUUUAUUUGUUGAUUGGAAUUGUUGUAAAUGAAAGAUGGGGAAAUAAAACGAGCUAAAUGUGUUAUAUGUGACUUGAAUUUGUUGAAUAAGUCAUGUGAUAACUCAUAUUGAGGGGAUAGAAGAGCAUGAGUAGGCUAUGAUUGAUACAGACAUUGAUGUUGAAACAGAUGAUGUGUAAUACUAUGAUGUGGUCGUGAUAUGGUUGUGAUUGAAACAGAUGAUGUGUAAUACUAUGAUGUGGUCGUGAUAUGGUUGUGAUUGAAACAGAUGAUGUGUAAUACUAUGAUGUGGUCGUGAUAUGGUUGUGAUUGAAACAGAUGAUGUGUAAUACUAUGAUGUGGUCGUGAUAUGGUUGUGAUUGAAACAGAUGAUGUGUAAUACUAUGAUGUGGUCGUGAUAUGGUUGUGAUUGAAACAGAUGAUGUGUAAUACUAUGAUGUGGUCGUGAUAUGGUUGUGAUUGAAACAGAUGAUGUGUAAUACUAUGAUGUGGUCGUGAUAUGGUUGUGAUUGAAACAGAUGAUGUGUAAUACUAUGAUGUGGUCGUGAUAUGGUUGUGAUUGAAACAGAUGAUGUGUAAUACUAUGAUGUGGUCGUGAUAUGGUUGUGAUUGAAACAGAUGAUGUGUAAUACUAUGAUGUGGUCGUGAUAUGGUUGUGAUUGAGACAGAUGAUGUGUAAUACUAUGAUGUGAUCGUGAUAUGAUUGUGAUUGAUGACAUGUGCAUAUUCAUUAUUCAUCCCAUGUGUGAACUAUCUGUUGCAUGAGUUCUGAGACACUGAUAUGAGGAUGGAUGGAUAUGAGACACAGUUGAAACUAGCUCCGACUAGAGAUAUAUGAGAUGGACUAGCUCCGGCUAGCGAUUUGGAUGCCGAUGGGAUCUGGUUCCGGCGGUGAUACAUGGUCCAUGUGUGGCCCCCAUGGGUUCUGAUUUGAGUAUUCAGCGCGGACUGAUUACGUCAACAGAUGUGUAUCGUAGGACAGACAUGCAUCACGACUACAUGACAUCAUUAUUGCAUUUGCAUCGCAUUUCACUUCAUCUUUGUCUGUGGUGUGUGGAUUUUACCUAUUUGCCCCUCUUCAUGUGAUAUAUGAUCUAUUUGCUCUUAUAUGAGGAUAUGAGGUUGAUUUUGAGACACUGUUGGAUAUAUAUGUUGAUUAUGAAUUGUGUAGUAUUUUUUUUAUAACCAAGUCUUCCGCUUAUUUAUUAUCUCUUAUUCUCGUAUUUCUAUUUCUCUAUCGUUGUGGUUGAGUUAGGCUGACGUGUCCGGUGGGAAAUGGACACGUGCCAUCACAUCCGGAUUUGGGAUGUGACAAACAAUUUCUUCAAUUCCACACAUGUCGGGAAAAAACUUAAAUUAUUGUACUUAGAGAUGACAUAUUUUAUUCACCUUAUUAUGUUUCAAUACAUCGAUUCAUUAUUCAUGUGUAUGUCUAAUUCUUUUUAUGUGUCUGCUCUUCUGUCAUAUUUAAUAUUUGCAACCAUCUCGUCUAUAGGUUUGAUUAAAUUAAAUUGUUAAAUAAGGUAACUAAACUUUAUAGUAUCUACUUAGGUACAUAUGUCUUCAAAUGAAAGUGGAAAAAUAUAAUUUACCUGCAGGUGGCGGAGCUUCCAACGGCACAUCAACGAAGAAACGGGACUUAGGUACACAUGUCUUCAAAUGAAAGUGGAAAAAUAUAAUUUACCUGCAGGUGGCGGAGCUUCCAACGGCACAUCAACGAAGAAACGGGAACUUUCAUAACGGAAGUUGCACCUAGGCCUCUUUCCCAGGCAAGGACAUUGAGGCAUGGUUCCAUAAGCGUCAGUUAAGCAAUUCUGAGGAGAUAAAUCAGGAGUACACUGCACAAGUGGAUAUAUAGUCUGAUAAUCUGGACCUGUCACAUUACCACUAGCAUAUUUUCGAAAGGAACCACGAUUUACAGCACGGUCUCGUAAAUUUUCCAGUAAUUUACCCAGUUCCUGGUUAAAUUCCUCGGGUUUUGAGGCAUUCACAGUAUUCCGAUGAAAAUAUUGAACAGACAACGAUUGAGUAUUUAUAAUGGAUAGAUUCGAGUAAUGCAACAAACAUUCAUCAUAGCCACCAAUAACUUCUUUUUGGGUAGGACAUAACUGUACAAGUUUUUGAGCAGCGUUAUGGAUACAACUGCGACAUUCUUUUAGCUCCACAUCUCCUCUACAUAGCACAAUACCACUGACCUCGUCGGUGUUUUGGCCAAUGGAAUCAUAGUAGAGAAGAGUGUGUUAAGAUUCUUCUGGUAUGCACUAUUCUCAGUAUAGUUACCAUUCUUACCACAUCUACUGUAUUGUAAAUCAGGCAGCUGCGCUACGAUAUUGAGAACUUGUAUAUGCAAAAACAGAAAGAGUAGCACCUUCGGAAUAGCCAUGGUCAUGGUUGUCUAACUUGCAUUUCCAUUUGUAGAAGAUUAGAUAUUUUGACAUCAAAGGCAAAAAUGAGUUGGCUUUUAUUUUUAUUUUUUUAGCUUAAAAAAACAUGCGUCAGGUCAUUAAACUAGUUGUACCUAAUAUUCUUUCUGUCUAAUAAUAAUUGUAAUUUAGGACAGAAAUUAAGAAAUACUAGUAAAUGAUAGAUAUAAUUUUACCAAAUUAUCCUUAUUAAAUAUAAGUCUUUUAAAUAUUAAAAAAUGAACAUUUAAAAAUAAGAAUAAAAUAGACAUAAAAUAAUAAAUCAUUCAUUAAUUUUAUAAACUGAACCAGAAUUAUCACUUUCUGGCUUAAGUGACCUUUUGAGUGAAUUGACCUAGCAAAAGAUAAAACUUCUGAUGACGUGGUCUAUAUCUUUUUGAUUUGCCAAAUUUUACUCCUUAGAAAAUACUGUAUGAAAUUCGUAGACUCUAAUUUAUGGGGAUAAUGGGAAUUGGGACAGGAGUGGAUACCAAGAAGCCACCAAGGCUGCAAAUUUUGACCUCAUCAACUUUAUAUGAUUACUCCAGAAAAUGAAAUCCAACUUAUUUUUUACAAGUACCAUAUUUUCCUUUUUUUCCCUAGUGUUUUAAAUUUUAAUCCACAAUAAUUUCUGGGAAUUACUCCUACAAAAGAAUUUUAAAAAAUUGCUCAAGUUCGCUGCAGUGGAUCAUUUAUAUUAUAUUUUUCCUGUCUUUAAUUACUUAUUCACUUUUAAAUUGACACACCUAUUAAGAAAAUAAUAAUUGACAUAGUGAAUUUACCAUUUUAUCCCUAUUGAUUAUGAAGUGGAUGAAUUAAAAACUUCAAAUUUUCAAGAAGUAUUACCUUUUUCAAAAUAAUUAAUUAAUGGUAUAAUAGAUAAAAAAUUUUUAUCAUUUCUUGAUUUGUCAAAAUAGACAAGUAAUUAGGAACAACUAUAAAAGAAAAAUUGGACAAGUAAUUAAGGACGAGGGAGUAUGUCCUUGUAUCUUCUCUGUUGCUCUUCCGACCAUACACUUAAAUAUUUGUGAAAUUUCCAACAAAGGGGUGUCAUCAUAAACUUGGGAAGAAAAAAAAUUGAAAGUCCUAAAAAGGGAUUAAAGAAAAAAAUGUCAACUUUUGACUUGGUUUACAUCUCAAAAGUUGACAAAUUGAAUCUCCAAAUUCAACUAGUCUAAUUUAUGGGGUGAUGGGACAGGAGAGUAUAAGAACAAGCUACCGAGGUGGAAACGUUUCUAAUUACAGACUUCUGUCCGUACUAUAAUACUUCCUCCGUCUCAUUUUAUAUGUCAUGCAUUUUUAUAAAUAGUUAGUGUAUAAUAUUUGUCAUUUCAUAAAAUCAAUUCAUAAAUUACCAUAUUGUUCCUUUUUUUAUCCUUGUGAAUUAUUAGUCUUGAAAAUAUACAUUGACCAACUUAGAAAAGUUAAGUAAAUAAUUCAUGUUUAUUGGUUAAAUUAAUUAAUCAAAAUAAAUUAUUCAUAUUCAUUGAUUGAAAACUUGAGUUCCAAAAAAAUUAAAUAAGAAUAGAAAGGUAAAGUUAAAUCAUUUCUUAAUACAAGUGUAAAGUAAAAAAGUAAUAAAAUGGGAUGGAGGGAGUAGUUGGCUACCUUAUUAAAAUAUAUGUUUUGAAUUAUGUGUCUAUUUAUUAAAUUAAAAUAAAAUAAAAUUAAUUCUACCCCUAUUAUUAGUACUUUUUGAAAGCCUAAAUAAAUUUAGAAUUUUUUUAAAAAAUAAACAAGAGUUCAUUAUUUUGUAUCUAUUCUAAUGAUAUAUAUUUAUGUGCCCUAUGUUAUUAAAUAUAUUUUUCAUGAAUUAUCGUAAUGUACAUCAAUAAAAAUAACGAAAAAUUUAGUUAUCUGAUAUGUAAUUUCUCAAACACCACAUAAAAUAAAAGAUAAUCAAUCAAUAUGAAACGGAAUGAGUAAAAUUUUAUAUGAUUCCAGAAUACGAAAAGUUAUUUUGGCUCUUCCAAUAGUAUAAAGUUGUACGUAAUGAGUUCCUAGAAAUAGGGACUUUUUCCUUUCCUCCUCUUUUCUUUUUCCUUUUGCCCGUCCAUAAAGUUGAAAAGACGUGCGAGAUGCCCAUAUGAUGCUACCUUACAAACCAAGCCAGUUAAAAUGAAUAUGGAUGUAUUUAGCUCCAAGUUAAAUACUUUCUGUUCCUAAUUAUUUGUCAAUUUUUAAAUUGACACUUAUUAAGAAAAUAAUAAUUGACAUAGUGAGUUUAUCAGUUUAUCUCUAUUAAUUAUGAAGUGGAUAAAUUAAAAACAUAAGAUUUUCAAGAAGUUCGACCUUUUUCAAAAUAAUUAAUUGAGGGUAUAAUAGGUAAAAAAAAUUGUCCUUUCUUAAAUUGCAAAAUAGAUAGGAAUAACUAUAAAAGGAAAUAUGAACAAGUAAUUAGGAAAAAAAAGAGUAUAACUAUUUUAAAACUAUACAUUGUAUUAAAAUGAGUGUUAUUUUUUUUUACAUGUAAACUUUACAAUAAUUGCUAGCUAGACUACAAGUCCAAGGCACGUACACUAAAAGUGGUACCAACACAUAAAAUAAGUAAACUCGGAGAAAAAGGCUACAAAUAUUUCAUUUGACUUGGUCUACAUCUCAGAAGUUGACAAAUUCAAUCUUCAAAGUUAACAAGUCUUUUAUGGGAGUAAAUAACAUAAAUGGUCCCUAAACUAUUAUAGUAUGUCUAAAAUAGUCCAUUAACUAUACCGUUAACAAAUAUAGUCCUUUAACUAUCUACAAUCUUGUCAAGUUUGGUCUAUAUCUACUUUUUAUAAAUAAAUAAAAACUUGUAAUUCUAAUUUAAUCUCUAUCUCCUGACUUUUUUUUUGCCACUUCUUUGCUCUAUUAUCUCACUAUUUCUUCACUUUAUUUUGUCCAAUUCUUUUUUUUCUACUGUCUUACUGUAAUUGUGUGUUGGUCGUUAUUUUAUUUGAGUUGAAUCAAAUUGCAGCUCUAAAAACACCAAAAAAAUCAGCAUGAAAUUGUACAUAACACAGCACUAGACAACAACAUCAAACCAUUAAAAUAUCAAUACCAAACUACUACAUCAGACUACGAAAAAUUUGCACCAAAAGCACUCGAGCACCAAAUAUCAGCUGCAAACUGCACAAAAUAUAGCACAGAAACUGCACCAAACUACACAAAAACUGCACCAAAAAACAUCACCAAGCUACCCCAAACUGCACAAAAACAACACCAAACUUGACAAGGUUUUCUUUACUAUAGCAGCGUCAAUGAAGAAAAGAAGAGGGAAAAAGAAAAUCAAGAGAGAGUAGCUGUAUUAUGAAGUUUGUUAACGGUGUCUAUAAAAGUAGAUACAGACCAAACUUGACAACAUUAUAGAUAGUUAAGGGACUAUUUCCGUUAAGUGUAUAGUUUAGGGACUAUUUUAGAUCUACUGUAAUAGUUUAAGGACCAUUUAUGUCAUUUUCUUUCUUUUAUGGGGGUGAUGGGACAUGAGAGAAUAAGAACAAGCUACCGAGGUGCAAAAUUUGUACUUGCUUUUACUUGAACGUUUCUAAUUACAUACAUACUUUUCCAACCCUACUAUAAUAUAUAGUUGGCUAUCUUAAUAAAAUUAUAUGUUUCGAAUCAUUUGUCUACUUAUUAAAUUGAAUUUAAAAAAUUCAUUUAACUCCUAUUAUGAAUACUUUUUGAAUAUCUUAAUGUACAUCAGAAUGAAUUAGAGAAAUUAAUUAUUUGAUAUAUAAUUUCUUAAACAUCAUAUAAAAUGAAAGAUAAUCAAUUAAUAUGAAACAAAACAAGUAACAUUUUAUAUGAUUUUAGUAAACGAAAAGUUAUUUGGCUCUUCAAAUAGUAUAAAGUGGUAUGGAAGGAGUUCCUAGAAAUUGAGACCUUUUCCUUUCCUCUUGUUUUCUUAGUUAAAUAACUACUCAUUUUAAAACUAUGCAUUGUAUUAAAAAGAGUGUUACUAUUACAUAUAAACUUUAUAAUAAUUAUUGUUAGCUAGACUACACGUACACUAAAAGUGGUACCAACACAUAAAAUAAGUAAACUCAGAGAAAAAGGUUAUCAUACUAAGGAUGUUAACGAGGAUAUAACUCAGAUAUGGAUGCCUCAUUUCGUGAUGAACCAAUAGAUUUACUUUUGGCUAGUUCACUAGAGUCUGUCAUUCUUGUGUUGUAUUCUUUAAUAAGCGACGUCUCUGCGGUAAUAUUACUGUGCAUAUAGAAUGCUGGCCCUGAAGGCAUUGGAAGACUCAACGAAAAGCUACUGAGCAUGAGAACAACAGCUGCCAUGGUUGGUCUAUCAGCCACACUUUCUUGAACACACAAUAAAGCUAUGUGAAUGCUUCUCAUUAUGUCACGAAUCAGUCCUGUGCUUUCCUUCAGCAUUGGAUCUACAAAAUCUAUAGUUGUUCCAUUACGCCAGCUUAACCAAGCCUGUAUGUGAAUGUGAUAGUUCAAUUAUCAGAAUAAGAUGAAAUUCUCUGACCAUUUCACAAAAUUAAUACUUGAUUGAUUGGCCAGGUUACUUACAAAACUCAAAAGGUCUUCCACCGAUUCUCCAUUUCUGAAACAAGUGUUUUUUUGGCCACUUAAAAUUUCUAAGACUAGUACUCCAAAGCUAAAAACAUCUGACUUUACGGAAAAUUGCCCGUGCAUUGCAUACUCUGGUGCCAUAUAUCCACUGUGAAACAAAAACAACAAUUACGUAACAUUCCGCAACUUAUAUAACAUUGCAUAUUUAGUAGUCCAAACAGUGGGAUCAGCAAAACUAAAUAGCUGUUAAAACAGGGAACUACUUGAUGUUAAAAGUCAGAACUACAUGUUUCAUUAAUGAUCUGGGACAUUUUCUCAAGGAAGUCGAAAGCACAAAUUGGGUUGUUAUGUCUUACUGCAAUGUGAAGACAACAUCUUAGACCACUGAUCUAUUCUUGGCUGAGCAAAUAACAAGUUUUGAUGAGUUAAGACCAAUAUCUUGUAUUUUGCUACCGCGAGAUCAUAUCUGAUAACCUCUUUGAACAAUGAGAGUUCAUAUGCAGAAAAGAAGAAGAUAUUUUUGUUCUAAACAAAAUCAAAUUUAGCUUAUUCAUUUCCAGAACUCUGUUUUGGCCGAAGAUCCUGAACUUCAUUUUAAUCAUUAGAGAUUGCAACUUUGGUAGUGACCAAAUUGAGAACAAAACUCUAGGUAUAUAACCAUCAUCUUGAAUAAUACUGAGUUUGUACACCACGAAAGUCCUAGUUCAACAAAAUUGAGGUAAGCAUUCCUAAAGAUAGUACAAUGAUGAGCAAAAUUCAUAUUGAAAAUUCUAAUAACAAUUCAAAGAAAGAUUUUCUUUUGUCUCGAGGCAGCUUUUAUUCUAGCUAAGUUGUUAAAUAAUCCUUCCUAGCAAAAUGCUAAUAACAGUCUAUCCAACGAGAGAGGUAAAACUUACUAGGUCCCAACAAUUCUGUUUGUGCUGCCUUGAGUUUCAUCUAAUUCAAAUAGCCUUGCCAUGCCAAAAUCUGAGAUUUUAGGAUUCAUUUCUGUAUCUAGUAGAACAUUACUAGCUUUGAGAUCACGGUGAAUGAUCCGAAGCCUAGAAUCCUCAUGAAGAUAAAGAAUUCCCUUAGCAAUGCCUCCUAUUAUUUUGGAUCGCCUUUCCCAAUCCAAUUGCCUACGUUUAACUGAAUCUGCGAACAAGAUGAAGAAUAUGAAAAUAAAAUAAAAUUCUAAGUCACUUAAAAUGUUACUACAGGCAACUGCUCAUUAUAAGUGCAAUUAGUUCUAUGGUAUAUAAGGCAGACAACCAGACAAGAUAUCGAAUUACAUUGAUAGAAUAACUUUUGUUAGGGGUGUACAUGGUCGGGUUGGUUCGGGUUUUUUAAAUAUCAAACCAAAUCAUUUGUGUCGGAUUUUUGAAUUUAUAAACCAAACCAAACCAAUAAAACUCGGGCUUUUCAACCUCAGAUUUUUUCAGAUUUUUUUGGGUUUUUUGGAUUUUCGGGUUUUUCUAGUAAAGUAUUCAUACAAACAUAUAAUUUACUUGUACUUCAAAUAUUUCUUUAGUCCUACCAAAAUACAACUAUCUAAGGUGUUUCUUAAGAAAAUAACACAAAAUAUGAUAUGAUUAAUGACAUUAAAAUAUCCAACAAAAAAAUAAUAAUGAAAUCGCGUAAAACAAAUAUUGCAAAUUAAUAAGUAAUAAUGAAAAUAAUCAUAAUUUAAAAGUACUAAAUCAUGCUAAAAUAAGUUUAAUAAGUAUUAGUUACAUGACUAAGUAUUAAAGGAAAUUAAAAAUUAGAUUAUGUACUUUAAUUGUCUAAACCUUUGUAAAACUAAAGAACAAAUAUUCAAUAUUAUUGUCAUUCUUAGUGUUGAAUUGAUUUUCUUUUUGCAUUAGUAUUAAUUCGAUUUUGAUUUAAACUUUAUUAUAAUUACCAACAUCUAUGAACUAUAAUCUUUAUGAACUAUUAAGAAUUCUAAGUUUCAAACAUGAAAUAAUAUAUUAAAAGAUAAAAACUAUGAAAAAAGUAUAACAAAAUAUUUAAAAAUUAUAUCAAAGUAAAUAUUUUUACGUAUAAAAUAAAAUUUUAAAAUUAAUAUAUAUAAUGUCGGGUUGGUUUUUUUUUAGUUAAAACCAAACCAACCCAAAUAUAGUCGGAUUUUUUAUUUCAAUACCAAAUCAAGUCAAACCAAACCACUAGUCGGAUUUUUUUUUCGAUUUGACUCGUUUUACAGUUUGGUUCGGUUUUCGAUUCAAUUUUGUACACCCCUACUUUUGUAUAUAAGUUAAAUUCAUAACUUAUUGAUGCUCAAGCUCAAUAUUGAUAAAAAGUCAAGCAGUACAUACCAAAUAAGAAGUGGUCAAGACUUGCGUUGGGAACAAACUCAUAGACAAGAAGUCGCUCUGUUCCGUCUAGGCAAAAUCCCAGCAACCUAACCAAAUUCCUGUGUUGAAGCCUGGCAACCAACAAGACCUCAUUUUUGAAUUCUAGAUCACCUUGGCCUGAAUCUGCUGAUAACCUUUUCACUGCUACUUCUUGUCCAUUUUGAAGCUUACCCUAAAAUAUAAAUGAAAACAAAUUGAAAAAAUAUGAACUAAAGCAAUGAAAUUAUAACAAGUACUCAUAUUCAGUGGAAAGAAUAUUUGUACAAUAGAAGUUAAAAUCAUGCUACAAUAUGUAAGUUUAAUUACCUUGUACACAGGACCAAAUCCGCCUUCUCCGAGCUUAUUAGCAUCUGAGAAGUCAUCUGUUGCUGCUCUAAUUGCCGAAAAUCAUAUUGAAAAGAUUCUGCAAUACUAGUAUCAUCUACAGAUGUACCUUCACGAACAUAGUAGUAAUAGCUUACAACAAAUUAGUGAAACAUGGUCUUAAUAAUUCAACUUUCCUGAAUUAUUGUUUGUUUAUAGUUUACGCUUACUCUGAAUUUCGUUCACCAGCUUCCUCUUGCGCCUCCUUAUCAUGAUGACAGCAAUACAAAUCAUAAGAAUAACAAUUGUAACAGUUGACACAACGAUAAUGAUAAUUGUUCGUGUUGUUUUAUCAUCCUUCCCUGUUGGAGGUGUUUUAUUUUCCGUCCCUGUUGGAACUGUUUUAUUAUCAUUUCCUACAAAAAAAAAAAAAAAAAGUUUCAAGUUAGUACAAUAUCUUCUCAUUCCCAAUUCACUUGUCUUACUUUGCUUUUAAGAAUAACUAAGAAACUUUGCGUAUUACCUAUUGAAUAUCACAAAUACAAUUGGUCCUAUAAUAUAGUAUGUUCUUCCAGCCUUAACUCAUGUCAAAGACUUGUGGUUGUGUUGAAUUGUAUGAUCUAUCUCAUCUAAAGUCUUAAGUUGUUAUACAUAGUACACUUGUCUUUCGCCCCAUGAAUUGGUUAUUCCUAAACGAGUCAUGAAGGGUAUAACGAAUAUACCUUGUCUCCACAUUGGAUCAAGAACAGGAUCUGACUUGUUUGGCUUUGUGCCUAGACAGUUUGCAUUUCGUAAAACUAAAAAAGACUAGGACACCCCCUUCUUUUGAUUUACGUUCCAUCAGUCUCAUAGAAUGGGGUAGGUAGGAGAUAAUCAGUGAUCGGAAGGCGUUCAUUUCAAUCUCUAUAAACAGUGACAAUUUCUCAAUCUAUUUGAUUGAAUUGAUAGAUACGAAACCUCCCCAUUCUUAGGAUUUUAUCAAUCAGAUGAAAAAAAAAAAAAGAUUUAUACUUGACGUCUUCAACACGCCACCUCAAGUGCGAGCCUGAUUCUCUUUUAUGAGUCAAGCAAACAGUAAAUCUUCUUGAUAGAUGGUGACAAAGAGAUUUGAAUGAAGAACCAUAUUGAAUUGUGUUACUAUAUAUCUCAUCUAAAAACUUAAAACUAUUUGAUUUUUAUUUAAUUAAUUAUGUCUUCAACAGUCUCAAUCAAAAUUGGAUAUUGAUAAAAUUGGGAUUAGCAAAAGGAACAAUAAAAACUGUGUUCACCUGCAGGUGGCGGAGCUUCCAACGGCACAUCCACGAAGAAACGGGAAAUUUCAUAACGGAAGUUGCACCUAAUCCCUAUGAUUCUUCCACCGGUCUUUCCCAGGCAGGGACAUUGAGGCAAGGUUCCAUAAGCGUCAGUUAAGCAAUUGAAGCAACUCUGACGAGAUAAAUCAGGAGUACACUGCACAAGUGCAUAUAUAGACUGAGAAUCUGGACCUGUCGCAUUACCACUAGCAUAUUUUUGAAGAGGACCACCCUGUGCAGCACGGUCUCGUAAAUUUUCCAAUAAUUUUCUUAGCUCCUGGUUAAAUUCCUCGGGUUUUGAAGCAUUCGCAGGAUUCCAAAGAAAUAAUUGAAUAGACAACGAUGGAGUAUCUAUAAUGGAUUGAUUCGAAUACUGUAACAUACAUUCAUCAUAGCCACCGAAAACUUCUUUUUGGUUAGGACAUAACUGUGCAAUCUUUUGAACAGCAUUAUCAACACAAACGCGACAAUCAUCUAGCUCCACAUCUCCUCUACAUAACACAAUAACGCUGGCUCUAUCAGAGUUUUGGCCAAUAGAAGCAUUGUAGAAACCGUAGUUAUCUAUUUUUGAGGAAAGGGAAGUGAGGAGUGUGUUUAGAUUGUUCUUGUAGGUACUAUUCUCAGUAUAGUUACCAUUCUUACCACAUAUACCGAAUCGUAAAUCAGGCAGCUGCGCUACAAUAUUGAGAACAUGUAAAUGCAAAAAUAGAAAGAAUAACCACUUUUGAAUAGCCAUGGCUAUGUCUGUUUAAGUUACAAGCAAGUUUUGAUAUUAGUGCAGAAUAUGUAAAAUAGAACCUAGAGCAGGAAGAGCUUGUAAAAAGAGUUGGAGAUAGCGUAUUGACCGGGGUGUAGCGAACUUCAUUUGUCUUGGCAGUACAAUUUCUGACAUAUUAGUUAAGCAAGAAAAGGACAUUGAUAUUUGAAGGUUAGCUGCAAAACUAACACUCGGUUGGAUUGGAUUCAAAUUUUAAAAGAAAAAAGAGCUUUUAAAAUUAUUAAUAAUCUUAAAUAUGCAGUAACAUUUAUCUUAUAUAAUAAUAAAUGUAUGGUUGUUAAAGUAUAAAAUGAAAUUAUUUUUAGAUACUCCCUCUGAGCAGUUUUAAUUGUUAUUUUGCGCUUUUCAAAAGUCAUUUUCAUUAUUUUUUAAAGUUAAAUUAAAUUACAUUAAUUCAAUAUUUUAAAUAAAAAAUUUAGAUAUUCAAAAACUAUACAAAUAAUACUAUAAAUUGCAACUUUUUGUAUAUCAAUAUAAUAAAAAUAUAUCAUAAAAUGUUAAUCAAAACUCUUAUCGUUUGACUCUAAAAAAAACCAUGAUAUUUAAAAAUGGACUGAGGGAGGGAGUACAAAAUAUAAGAAAAUAUCAAAUUUCUUUUUGAAAAACUAAUUGAUGUAGUUCUUUUGAAAUAAUGUCACAUGGAAUUAAUAAGGAAUAGUACAAACUUUUGACUUGGUCUAUAUCUUUUGGGUUGAAUAAUUGACUUUUAAGGGUGCAUUUGUGAAUAUUUUUGAAAUAUAUCUUUUCUAGAGAAAUAAUUCGGAGGAAAAUGACGUUUCUUAUAAAUGAAAAAUAUGCUUUCUAGAGAAAUAAUUUGGAGGAAAAUAACUUUUCUUAUAAGGAAAAAAAAAUAAUGAUGAAGAAGGUUAUAUUCACUUUCCUAAUGUGAUGAAGAAGCUUAUAUUCAUUUUUCGGAGCCGAGAGGAUAAUAUUUUUCCUCUAAAAAUAUAAAUGGUAAAUCAAUUUAUUUUAAUUAACAAAGCAAAAUUGCUACUGAGGGAACAAUAUCUUUUAACGUCGUGCACACCGUUAAAAACAUCAUUUAAAAUCGUUGCUGGCCCGAUUUUGUCCAAAAAAAAACAUUUAAAAUCAAAAUGGCUGCAGGAAUUUUUUUUAAAAGUAAAAUCAUUGCCUCAGCAGCGUUAUUCUAAAAAAAUAAAAAGAUUUCCUCUAAAAUUGCUACGCAGCGUUUUCUUAAAAAUAAAAUAAAAUUUAUAGCAAUUUUAAUUUAAAAACUGAAAUCGCUGCAAUGGCAGCAAUUUUCCGAUUUUUUUUUUUAAAAUUAUCGCUGCUUUGGCAGCAAUUUUCCUUAAUGUUUUUUUUUUAAAAAAAAAUGAAUAAUGCUGCUGAGACAGCGAUUUACAAUAAAAAAAACUAAGGUCAUGCACGACAUUAAAAGAUAUCGCACCCUAGGUAGCGAUUUUGUCGUUUUAGUUUUUUAAAAAAAAUUGAUAUACCAUUUAUGUUUUUUGAGGGGAAAAAAUUACCCUUUUAACUCCGGACUCGAUUUUAUUAGGCCAAACCACUUUUGGGCCUAGUCUUGUAUAACUCUGUUUGAAUUUUAAUAAUAGCAACUUUCACAUAUAGCAAACACAAAAAUCAUAUUUGUAUGUUAUAGCUAUAGUUUGCAUAAUUGCGCUCUAUAUCAAACAUGCUAUGACUAUUUCACUAUACAUAUAUACAAAAGAAGCUAGGUUAUGUUGAUAUAUAUAUAUAUAUAUAUACACACACAAAAGAAGCAAUUGUAUAAUUCGCUGACUCCUAUUAAGAUUUGUAUAAUUUCGUUGGCAGCCUCUCAAUUCAAUUUUAUGUGUUUGUACAUUUGUAUACAAUUUGAAUUUUUAUACAAUUGAAUCGAAAUAAAACAUUUGUAUAUCAAAUAUCGCACUCUCUCUCUCACAUUAUAUAAACAUAAAUUAUACAUUGUAUUUUGUUUAAGUUGUGUUUGUAUAAAGCGAGAAAGAGAGAAAGGCAAAAGAGAACUGGGCAGGGAAAUAUUUGUAUUGUAUAAUUAUAAGUGUAUAGGAUGAAAAUAUAUGUAUUUGCAUGUGUAUAUACAAUUUUCUCUCUCUUUAUAUAAACAGAACACAAUUUAUACAUUUCUGUUUGUAUAAAGCGAGAGAGGCGAGGGAGAGGCUAGCGAGCGAGAAUUUCAGGGAGAGAGGCGACUGACCACAGUUUGCUACGGGACACAAUUAAAUCAAACUAUGGUUAUAGCAUUUAAUUUGAAUUAAUAGUUUGUCAUUAUAUACAAUUUCCCUUUUAAUAAAGGGCUUAAUGCCUGACUUUUAUUAUUUUUUUAAAAUAAAAAUAAUAAUAAAAGUAAACAAAAAUCGAGUUCUACAAGUGAUACUUCAUAUAGAUUGUGUUAUUUUCACCCUUCAACGUAUCUCAUAGUUACCCAUCUUCGAUACUCGAUAGCACGUUCAAGACUUAACUCUGUUUGCAUUUUAAUAAAGUGCUUAAUGCUUGACUUUUAUUUAUUAUUUUUAAAUAAUUUUUUUUUAUAAAAGUAAGCAAAAAAUCGAGUUCUACAAGUGGUUCUUCAUAUAUAUUGUGUUAUUUUCACUCUCCAAUAUAUCUCAUAUUUACCAUUUUUUAUGCUCGAUAGCACCUAUCUACCCACCAUACCGUCCUUACAUUAUAUAUUAUUUGUUUAAACUAUAUAUAAAUAUUUUUGAGAUGAUAUUUUUUAUUUAUACACCAAACACAAAAUAAUAAAAAAACACAUUUAUCCUUUUAAAUAAUAUUUACGCACAAAAUAGUUCCAUUCAUACCAAACAUACCCUAGAUCAAUUAAUGGAAUUUCCACGACUCUAAUUUAUGGCAGUAAAUGAUGUGAGAUGAGUGGAUAAUAACAAGCCAUCAAGGUGGGAAAAUAAUGACCGCUUCUUGGUCAUACAGUAUGCUAUAUUCUUCGAUUUUCUAGGUGAAGUUAAAGUUGCUCACUCCGUCUCCGUUCCGUUUUAGUUGUUAUGGUAAAGGUUUGAUACAUUUUUAAGAAAAAAAUAAUAAGAAAUGUUUAUUUAAUUAGUAAUAUAUUUCUUAUUAGUUAGUCUUAAUAUGAGAAUAAUUAAUGUUUAAAACAAAAUUAAAGAAAGAUAAUUAAUUUUUGAAUAUACAUGACAAUUAAAAAAGACAAAAAUAGUAUUGGUUAAUUUAUAUAUUUUUAUCUGUUUUCUAACUUUAGUAUUAUUUUUUAAUAUUAUUUUGUUUUGUUCCCUUACUUCUCAUUAUGCCAUCUUUACUUUGUACUAUAGUUUUUUUAUAUUAUUUUUCUAUUUUGCGUAUUUAUGUUAUUAUUCUAACUUUUUAAAAAUUAUAUUCCUAAUUAAAGAAAGGAAAUUUCCGCAAAUAACCACUAUAAUACACUUAAUUAUGCAUCAUAGUUAUAGUUUGCAUAUUUACGAGCUGUAGCUAUAGUUUAAGUUGUCUCGUUUGUAUAAUUUGUGGGUGAGUUUACAUAAUUCGCGGGAACAUUUGUAUAAUUGGGCUAUUUUUUUUAUAUAAACUCAAAAUAACGAAUUUAUACAAACACAAACAUCUGAAUUUUAAAUAAUUAUACAAAUGGAGUAUACAAAAUUACAGUAUACAAAAGUUAUAUAAAUUUCGAAUUAUACAAAUGUGCAAAUUAUACAAAUUCGAAAUCCCAGCCCACGUAAUUAUCACUGAAUAUUGGUUGCGAGAGAUAAUUAACUAACUAAUAUAUGUUUGUUUAAUCAUCUAAUUUUUCCAUUGAAGAAAGAAUGAGUCAUCUAUAAACUUGACGCAUAUUAAUGGGCGACGUCAAAUUCCUUGAUUUAUUAGUCAUUAUUAUUAAUUAUACACACCUAUAUUUACAAGAUUUUAAAAAUAUAUCUAUUUUGUUUUAAAAUAGUUCACUGUGGUAAUAAGACCAUCCUAAGGUAUAAAUUACUUUUUUAUCAAAUAUUUGAACAAUGCUACUCAUAAAUUAUGGUUGUUGUUUUAUUUAAAAACAUAUCUUUGGACUGGUUUUAGAGUCGCCACUUAAUUUUGAAAAAAAUCAAGAAAACUGAUUUUCAAUAGAUUAAAACAAGAAACCAAUUGAUAAUACUUAAGGGGGGUUCAAGGGUUCCUAUUAAUAUUCUAGGAAGGUUUUUAAAGCACCUAGAAUAUCCGCUAAUGCGGUUAUCCGACAACUAAUUUAUUUGGCUAAAAUAAUUUUAACUUAGCUUGACUUGCAAAAUUGAACUAUUUUGUUACUUAGGACCAUUUUAAGGGAGAAAAUGGAAUUAUGAAAUAUUAUCUAAGCGAAAUAUUUGUAAACUUAUUCUUUAAGUUUUGUUAAGAAAUGACCGAUUUAGUUAAAUUGUUAAAUCAAAAUGAAUGUCUCUCGAGAAUUUGAAUUUUUCAACCUUAAGAUUUGCAACAAAUAUUAACAAGCACGCAAACACAAUAAAAUAAAGAGGAAAAGAAACUCGGGCCCAAGUUUGGUUUUUUGUCCGCCUGGACCAAUACUUGGGCCUAUUUCGUUUAUGGGCCUUUGGCCCAUUUAAGUCACCUGCACCUGUCCUGAACAAACAAGUAUAACAAAUAAAUAGGCUUAGGCCCAAAAUAACAAAAUACAAUUCCCAAAAUUAAGAGUGGGCCUUUGGCCCGAUCUUUCAAUUCUCCUCCGCUUUCGCAUUCUACCAACUUCGAGACCUGUUCGUCGAUCCUAUAGCUCGAAAAUGGGGCUAACUCGAUAGGAAACCAAGUCGGAUAUGUAGGAGUGGUGUACAAAAUAGACUCGGGUAAAUGUCACAUGCAUAAAGAAAGGGAUGGUAAGAAUUAGUCAAAGGCAAAUGACAUGGAACAAAUAAUAAAUUAAUGAAAGAACUUUGUCAAAAAUUCAGAAUAUGAAAAUAAAAUAAUCGAUAUGCCGGGGAUAGCUAAGGAAAAUAGAACAAAUUCCAAGGUGAAUGACUAUUUUUAGCAAAUUCUCACGGCGUAUGACUAUUUUAGCAAAUUCGAACAUAAUUAAAUAAAGCACUUUGAUUCUUCUUCCAAAAGACUAUGAGAAUUGACUCCAAAACAGGACAAACUCUAAUUGGUAGCUUGACUUAUAAUUGAAAGCUUGAUUAAUUUGGAAAGAAAUAUUCCUACAAUCAAUUCUCUUUGAAAGUGUUCAUAUUUGUUUGUAAAAAAUUCUAAAAAAAGUUUUUUUUUUUUCUUUUAAGGGAUGAAUUAGUGAGAUUAUCUUUUUAUUCGUGAUUUAUUAAGCACCAUGCAAAACGAAAAGUGAUCAACUAAUAUAAGACUGAGGGAGUAUUAGUUAUGAUAUUAUUUAAUCUUUUAUGUGAUACACAACAAACUAUAGCAUUAGCAAGACAGGGGCAACUAUCACGUGAUAAACAUAAUUAAAGACAAAAUGGUUAUCAAUGCACCCAGUCAAAUAAUUUCAAACAUAACUAACUUCAGUAUUACCAAUACACCUUAUUUAGUAUUAUUCUUAUACUCCACUAAUGAAUAGAACGACCAAAACAUCUAAAAUAAUAAUUAACAGAAUAAUUGUUAAGAUCUAAAUACACCUUAUACAAUAAUAUUAUUAAUAUAGGCUCUGUAAAUAAUCUCAGAGAUAAAAGAUACUCUACUAAUAAAAUAGGACAUACGAAACAUUUAGCAUCAGAAUUCAAAAGAAAUAUACAAGAUACUAUUAUUUUAUUUUAUUUUUAAAUAAAAAAAAAAAUAAAAAAAAAAUAAAGCUUUAUGCAGUGUGUUCAAACAGUUUAAGAAAAUAAGUUAAAUAUGUCAAUUGUAAAAAUAUUAAACUUUAUGCCUAUUUAGGAAAAAUACAUACAAAUACUCAACAAGUAUAGAUUAUUUUAAACAUUUGCAAUAUACAACAAUAAUAACAUUCAAUUAUUCUUCUUAAAUUAAAAUGCAGAUCAUAUAUUUUGAAAGUAUAACGACACAUGUUGAAGUUUCUUAUUAAAUUGAAAUAUUUAUUUACAUUGACAAUUUCAUUAUGCUAUUAUAAUCAAGAAAAAUCUUAGACAUGAAAAUAAAAUAAAAUACCCAAACACUAAUCUACUCAAAUUUUUUGUUUAUUUAUUAUUUUAUUUUUAUUUAAAAAGAAAAAAGAGAAUACACUUUCUUGAAGACAACCUUAAAAACCAAUGAUGUAAGUCAAACAAAUAAGUAAAAUGUGGCAUCAAGAGAUUUCCAAUAAGGCGAAAUCAACUGCAUGAAGGCUAUACAGACAUACGACCUAUAAUCAGACCUCUAAGCACUAAGGAAACAAGAGAAGUAGUCAUAUUUUGCAUAAAAAGAAAGAAGUCACCAUAAAGAAAACAAAGAACGAGUUACAUUCACCGGGCAGACAGAAAACUACGAGUAUGAGGAGCAAUCAAAGCAUUGACCACGGAAAGCAAGUCAUCAAAUCGAUUCCGAACGUCAUAGAGCGAACACGACUCAACAUUUGAAGGGAGUAAUAUCGAUAUUCUGCUCAUAUUUAGGCAUAUACCAAGAGACAUGAACAUUUCUAACAGAGAAUGAGAUCUUUAAAAAAAAACUACUUGUGUGAGAUCAUAAUAGACAUACAAAGAUCGAGAAAAAAAAAGGUAGCUAUAAACAAAGCAAAUACGAGAUUCUCACCUCCUUUUGGGCAGCGAAAUGGAGACCAAACGAGAAGGUGACGACUUCCGAUUCUCAAUACAAAGCUACAACGAAAAGUUCCGGUGAAAGCUUCAAAGAAAAAACUCUGAAUUUGAGACUUGGAUCUUUGACUAUUUUUAUGACUCUCUCUUUUAAAAAUAAAAUGAAAUAAAAUAAAUAAAGACAAAAUAUAUGUUUCUAUAUUUCUCCCCCGUAUCCAAUUUCCCCUUCACUCUUUCUCAAUCUUUUCUUCUAACCCAAAAUUUUCAACUCCCAAAAAAAAAAAUCCCCCUCCCCCCAGUGAACAGAAGCAAAUAUAUAGCCAGGAACUAGGGUUCGGAAAUUUUAGGGGGGAAAAGGGAUCAAAAAUCCGAAUAGAAAAGGCCCAUCUCGAAAUUCAAAUUCGAAAAAUCUUUCACCAUUUUGGCUAAACAUACUUUUUCUCACAUUUCGUCCCAUUCCGGAAGGGGAAAAGGGGAUAGAUGGACUCGAUCCGUUCAAUCGUCCCGGACGAGCAACGUGGAGCGAUCUCACGCCAGGAGGACGAUUCACGUUGCUGCUACUGAUGCUUUUUGCCGCAAAACUCGGCUAGAAACAGUACUAUCGAGAGGGAUGGGAGGAAGAAGACAAAGGAGAUGCAGUACUACCCUCUGUUGCUGCUUUUCGUUUGCUUUACUGUUUAUCUUCCUUUGGAGUCGUUUGAAAAUUAAUGUUUUUGUUGCUUUCCGCGUGUGUUGCCGCUUUGAACAUUGGAGUUGUUGACGUUUUGUUGGGAAUUGUAAGGGAAAGGGGAUGGGGUCAGCUGGUACUGCUUGUUGUAUGUAUGUAUUGUAUUGUUAUAUGUAAUGUGGGUUGGGGAAAUGGGUCGGGUAGAGGGAUUAUUUAGAAAGGAAAUGGGCUGGCAAUUAAGGGAGAUGGGCCUGUUGGUGCUGCUGUACAUGCAUGCUGGAAAUAGUAUUGGGCUGCUGAAAAGUGGCCCAAACUUUGGUCUUAAAAUGGUUUUAAGGUGAGGUUAAAGAUGGGUUCGAUCUUGGAGUUUAAGAAAUAGCCGAAUUGAGUUAAAUUAACAAAUUCGGCUAAAUCCUAAGUAAGAUGGAUUAACAUUAAUUAAUUAACGAGCUUCUAAAUUUUAAUGAAAUAGAAUAAUUAAUUUAAUUGCAAACCAAUAAUUUAAAAUUAUAACCAUAACUUGAACUAGACUAAUUUUGUAAAAUAUUUAAAAUAACAUUUUUUUUUGUGAGACGAUUUUCGAGUAUCCAUAAAAUAUACUAAUUAUAUAUAAAAUUACAUGAAAUAUAUUUAUCAUUCAAAGUACUAUAAAAAUCGACUGAAAUUAUUUAAAAUAACCUUGAAACUAUUUUGAAUUAUAUAAAGCUAAUUAUUCUAAGUCGUUUGAAAAAUUAAGAAGCUAGAAAAUCAAUUACUAUCGGGGAGGGUCAAAAUUGGGUGUCAACAGUUGUCAAUAUUAUUAUUAUUAUUAUUGCCAAACAUGUCAUCCAUGAUAUUUUGCUAAAUCUUUGCUCAGUUAAAAUAUUUUUUAAUCAAUUCAACUAAGCCAGUAUCAUUUAUUUUAAAACUAUAUCUUAGUUAUUAAUUUUACAAAUUGUUAAAAAUCUGUAAUUAUUCUGAAUUUCAGCUUACCCGACUCAAUAAAUAGAGGCAAAAAUGCAUUUCCAUUACUAUUGAAAAAUUACACCACUUUUACAAGUUCAAUAAGUACUAGCAAAUUAGUCCAACAAAAAAAAAAAUCAUUGAUAAAUCAAUCACAAGAACCCCUAACUAAUUGGGUCCGAACAAAUAGCAAAGUAAAUAAGAAAAUCCAUUAAGUAAAAACAUACAUGCAUCCAGUGUUUACACCAGGUCUAUAAAUGAAUGAUAUACAUUUGCAUAUACAUAGAGAGAGAGAUGUAUGGAUGUUUUAUCGAGGAUGCAGCUCAGUUAUCAAAUCCUGAUUUCCUGAAGAACAUAUUGAUUUACUUUCCGUUAGUUUGCUUGACGCGGAAAUUGUUGAAUUGACAUCUCCAAAGUGUAAAAUCUGUGGGUUUACAUCGUUGUGUGGAACUGGAAGACUCAAAGAGCGACUACUGAGCAUGAGAAGUACUUCACCCAUGUUUGGUCUAUUAGCAACAUUUUCUUGAACGCACAAUAAAGCAAUGUGGAUGUAUCUCACUAUGUCACCAACAGGUCCCGAGCUUCCCCUCAGCAUAGGGUCUAUCAAAUUUGAAACUGUUUCUUCGCGCCAGU